rnacentral:lncRNA from 1 species
UCUCGGUGUUCUGAGGGGUAUUGAGAGGUCAGGUCCACAUCACCCAGUGACACUUCUCCAUCCAGGGUGAUGCAGGGCUCAGAUCAUGAUGAAAUCACUCUACAGAACAAACGUCACAGCCGCCCAGCUGCCACUUGUCCCCAACUCCACACCCACUAAGUUACCAUAGAACUGGGGUAAACAGAGAGAAUUUAAUAUGCUAAUAGCUCUGAUCUAAUAGCUGACAUAACACCAAUUAAAUUUUUAAUGACACUGGAGUAAUAAAAGAGCCCUUGGCAUACUUCUCUUUGCAAACAUGACUCAAAGGGUGGUUUUCCUUUUGCCCUUGCUUCAAUUUCCAGAUGCCAGGCCACUUAGAAGCCACUUAUCUCUUUACUCAGAGCUGGUAUUCGGGGGUUAUCAUUUUAUAAGAAAAGGACCACAAAUUUUAGAAUGCCUACCUACUCAGAGUAUCCAACUACAGCAUAAGGAAUCCCCAUUUCUUUCCGAGUAAAAGUGAAUGGUAAAGGGUUUGGAGUCUAGAAUCUGGAAUCCCAGGUUACCACUCUGAUGUCCCUCUCUUUCCCUGACUGAUUCUGGUUCUGGCUCCAUGAAGAACACGUGACCUCCAUUUCUAAAUCAUGGGCAGAAGCCACCAAGUUCAUGAGAUGGCUUCACACAGAAUCCAUGGCUAUUAGAAAAUAAGAGCAGCAGAUCAAACUGACCUGCUGGCACUCGACUGUUGAGUCCACUGACCAGCCCUACCAAUGGCAAUGUUUGUGCUUCAUAUGGAAUGAAAAAAACAAGUUGUUGAAAGAUAUAAACAACACGGUGUUACCUAUUGAAUACAGGAUGUAUAUCAAACACGGAAUGAAAAGAUACGGACCAAAUCCUUGAUAGCUGUUGCUUCUGGUGAAUGGGAAUGAGACUGGGGAAGGUGUGGGAGGGAACACAGAUGACCUCAAUUUCAUUAGCAUCAUUUGUGUAAAAAAAAAAACCAAAAAGGUAAAUAUUACAAAAUGCUAACAUUUGUUAAUUCUGAAUGAUAAAUGCACAGGUGUUUGUUAAAUUAGCUUUCAUACAUUAUUUUCCAAAUUAAAAAAAAAACACCUUUUAUCUUAUAAGUACUUGCUGGCAAUAUGCUCAAUCAGUAAACAGCUGAUAAGCAUCCACCAGAGGCAAAUAAUAAAAUCCCGCAUUAAGUAUUUACUGUGUCAGGCACAGUGCUAAGUGAUCUGUAUUAUGUUACAAGGCAGGUACUUUUCAUAAGGGAUAAAUGUUUAUCCUCACCUCCAGCUUUAAUUAGUUAUAGUCCCGGCCUCCUCCAUCUAGUCCAGGGAAGACUGGUGGCUUUUCUGAUGGGCUUGUUUGGAAGAACAAAGGGGCUCGGCCCCUUCUGCUCUGCCAGAAGCUGCUUGCUUGCAGAAGGCUCUUGUAAGUUUAACAGACAGACUCUGCCUGCCUCUGCAGAGAAAGACCUGUGGUUGUCCCACACUUAUAGAGAUUUGCAGGGUAAGUUCAUCUAUCUGUAUGCCUAAAUCUGGAUCAAUAUUAAAAACCCAUGACUGCUGCAUACCAAAGCCACAUCCUUCAACCUAAUCUUUACUAAUAUUAAAGGUAAAAUAUAUAAAAAGAUGGAAUUUUUAUAUCCAUCUGUCUUUCAAUUGGUUCCACUCUUGGGCCAGAAAUAAAAGUUACUUAUUGUCUCCCUUCAUCCUAACACUUGCUUUUGCCAUUUUACGGACGAGUGUAUUUAGGCUUAAAAACACCGUAUCAGUCUAUUUUUGCAUUACUAUAAAGGAAUACCUGACACUGGGUAAUUUAUAAAGAAAAGAAGUUUAAUUGGCUCACGGUUCCACAGGCUGUACAGGCAUAGCACCAACAUCUGCUCAGUGUCUGGUGAGGACCUCAGGAGGCUUACAAUCAUGGUAGAAGGAGCCGGGCGUGGUGGCUCAUGCCUGUAAUCCCAGCACUUUGGGAGGCUGAGGUGGGCAGAUCACGAGGUCAGGAGAUCGAGACCAUCCUGACUAACACAGUGAAACCCCGUCUCUACUAAAAAUACAAAAAAUUAGCCCGGUGUGGUGGCGGGCGCCUGUAGUCCCAGCUACUCAGGAGGCUGAAGCAGGAGAAUGGCGUGAACCCGGGAGGUGGAGCUUGCAGUGAGCCAAGAUUGCGCCACUGCACUCCAGCCUGGGUGACAGAGCAAGACUCCGUCUCAAAAAAAA